rnacentral:rRNA from 1 species
UACGUAGGGGGGCUAGCGUUGUCCGGAUUUAUUGGGCGUAAAGAGCGUGUAGGCGGCCAGGUAGGUCUGGUGUGAAAACUCGAGGCUUAACCUCGAGAUGUCAUCGGAAACCAUCUGGCUAGAGUCCGGAAGAGGAGAGUGGAAUUCCUGGUGUAGCGGUGAAAUGCGCAGAUAUCAGGAAGAACACCAAUGGCGAAAGCAGCUUUCUGGGACGGUACUGACGCUGAGACGCGAAAGCGUGGGGAGCGAACAGG